rnacentral:rRNA from 1 species
GACGAACGCUGGCGGCGUGCUUAACACAUGCAAGUCGAACGGAAAGGCCCUGCUUUUGUGGGGUGCUCGAGUGGCGAACGGGUGAGUAACACGUGAGUAACCUGCCCUUGACUUUGGGAUAACUUCAGGAAACUGGGGCUAAUACCGGAUAGGAGCUCCUGCUGCAUGGUGGGGGUUGGAAAGUUUCGGCGGUUGGGGAUGGACUCGCGGCUUAUCAGCUUGUUGGUGGGGUAGUGGCUUACCAAGGCUUUGACGGGUAGCCGGCCUGAGAGGGUGACCGGCCACAUUGGGACUGAGAUACGGCCCGGACUACUACGGGAGGCAGCAGUGGGGAAUAUUGCACAAUGGGCGGAAGCCUGAUGCAGCAACGCCGCGUGCGGGAUGACGGCCUUCGGGUUGUAAACCGCUUUCGCCUGUGACGAAGCGUGAGUGACGGUAAUGGGUAAAGAAGCACCGGCUAACUACGUG